rnacentral:rRNA from 1 species
UACAGAGGAUGCGAGCGUUAAUCGGAAUUACUGGGCGUAAAGCGCGCGUAGGCGGCUUUGCAAGUCGGGUGUGAAAUCCCCAGGCUUAACCUGGGAACUGCAUUCGAGACUGCAUUGCUAGAGUAUGGGAGAGGGAAGUGGAAUUUCAGGUGUAGCGGUGAAAUGCGUAGAUAUCUGAGGGAACAUCAGUGGCGAAAGCGACUUCCUGGACCAAUACUGACGCUCAUGUGCGAAAGCGUGGGGAGCAAACAGG